rnacentral:ncRNA from 1 species
GAGCGGCCGGCAUACCCCGGCCCCGGACGAGGCAGGCCAGUACCCGGUGAGCGCAAAGACUGGUCCGA